rnacentral:rRNA from 1 species
GAGGAAUAUUGGACAAUGGAUGGAAAUCUGAUCCAGCCAUGCCGCGUGCAGGAAGACGGCCCUAUGGGUUGUAAACUGCUUUUGUAUGGGAGCAAUAAGGACUACGUGUAGUUUGAUGAGUGUACCAUACGAAUAAGCAUCGGCUAACUCCGUGCCAGCAGCCGCGGUAAUACGGAGGAUGCGAGCGUUAUCCGGAUUUAUUGGGUUUAAAGGGUGCGUAGGCGGCGAUAUAAGUCAGUGGUGAAAUAUUUCGGCUUAACCGAGAGACUGCCAUUGAUACUGUGUUGCUAGAAUAUGGUUGCUGUGAGUGGAAUGUGUGGUGUAGCGGUGAAAUGCUUAGAUAUCACACAGAAUAUCGAUUGCGAAGGCAGCUCACAAAGCCAUUAUUGACGCUGAGGCACGAAAGUGUGGGGAUCAAACA